GACGAACGCUGGCGGCGUGCCUAAUACAUGCAAGUAGAACGCAGUUGCGCACGGGUGAGUAACGCGUAUGUAACUGCCUCAUAGCGGGGGGUAACUAUUGGAAAAGAUAGCUAAUACCGCAAUCUGUGAGAUGGACCUGCGUUGUAUUAGCGUGUUGGAGAGGUAAAGGCUCACCAAGGCGACGAUACAUAGCCGACCUGAGAGGGUUGUCGGCCCAGAUGGGACUGGAGCACGGCCCCGGCUCCUAAGGGGAGCAGCAGUAGGGAAUCAUCGGCAAUGGACGGCAGUCUGACCGAGCAACGCAGGGGGAGUGAAGAAGGUUCUCGGAUCGUAAAGCUCUGUUGUUAGAGGAGCGGUAACUAAACAAAAAGGGACGGCUAACUCCGUGCCAGCAGCCGCGGUAAUAC
rnacentral:rRNA from 1 species